AAGUCGUAACAAGGUUUUCCUUCCCGUUAAGCGUCUUAACUAUUGAAGCCUGACACAACGACUCUAAAUAAACGUGGAGUCCUACCUUCCCGGUGAGACGACACCGCCAAAAUGCUGUGAUCACCCCUGGUGUACCAGCAACCUAGCACGAUCGUUGCCAGGUCCACAGAUCAAGUUGCGGUGGUCUAGCUCAUCAGUCGAAGAUGGGUUGGGCUAUAAUAUGACCGGUCCUUAACCUUCCCGGUUAAGGCAUUCACGUUCCGUAGGUGAACCUGCGGAAGGAUCAUUAUCGAGUUAGGGUCCUCUGGGCUUGACCUCCAACCCUAUGUAUAUUUACUUUGUUGCUUUGGCGGGCCCGUCUUUAACUAGACCGCCAGGAGUCCUUGGGAUUCGUGGCCCGUGCCCGUCAGUAGCCCCUUACAAAUUCUUCUCAAUCAUGUUAAAUCUGAAUUCUAGUUAAAAUAAACUAAAA
rnacentral:misc_RNA from 1 species